rfam:Pyrococcus abyssi GE5 complete genome; segment 6/6
UAGAUGAUGAGCGCCAUCGAUGCUGAGGAGUGAUGACCGGAUUCCUGGCUGAU